rnacentral:tRNA from 1 species
GGGUCCUUAGCACAACAAGAGCAUUUGACUGCAGAUCAAAAGGUCACUAGUUCGGACUUGGUAAAAUCCU